rnacentral:lncRNA from 1 species
UGAAGAGUGGCCCCUUUCCCCUACCUUUUCUGCCGGCCAACCUCCGUUCUCAGCACCUCCGACGACCCGGAUGAAUACCCUGGUUUUUCUCGAGAUCAGUGUGGGGAUCUGCUAUUUGGCAUCUUCUUACCUGAGCAAGAUAAUUCCUGUCCGAGAGAGAAAGAUCAUUUGGAAUACCCAGCUUCUUUUCCAUAGCAAAUUACUGCUGGCUCUUUAAUACACUAC